CAGCAUUUAACUCAGAUGCUGAACGUGAAGGAUAACGUUGCGACAGCAACGGCCCGAAGGGCGAGGCGAAGUCGAGUCAUCCUGCACGACCCACCA
rnacentral:sRNA from 1 species